rnacentral:rRNA from 1 species
UACGGGGGGGGCAAGCGUUGUUCGGAAUUACUGGGCGUAAAGGGCUCGUAGGUGGCCAACUAAGUCAGACGUGAAAUCCCUCGGCUUAACCGGGGAACUGCGCCUGAUACUGGAUGGCUUGAGUUUGGGAGAGGGACGCGGAAUUCCAGGUGUAGCGGUGAAAUGCGUAGAUAUCUGGAGGAACACCGGUGGCGAAGGCGGCGUCCUGGACCAACACUGACACUGAGGAGCGAAAGCCAGGGGAGCAAACGGG